rnacentral:rRNA from 1 species
GGAAACACCCGGCCAACAGACUGGGUAAUACGGGGGAUCCCAGCGUGAUGUGGAAUCCAUGGUAUUGAAGGGGCCGUAGGCGGCCUUAUAAGUCAGUGGAGAAAUCUGCUAGCUCAAGGAGGAAACUGCCAUAUAUACUGUAGGGCUUUAAUUUUUGUGAAGUAACUAGAAUAUGCAGUGUAGCGGUGAAAUGCUUAGAUAUUACAUGGAAUACCAAUUGCGAGGGCAGGUUACUAACAAACGAGUGACGCUGAUGGACGAAGGCGUGGGGAGCGAACAGGAUUAGAUACCCCAGUAGUC